UACGAAGGGGGCUAGCGUUGUUCGGAAUUACUGGGCGUAAAGCGUGCGCAGGCGGCUUCUCAAGUCAGGGGUGAAAGCCCAGAGCUCAACUCUGGAAUUGCCUUUGAGACUGAGUGGCUUGAGUACGAGAGAGGUGAGUGGAAUUCCCGGUGUAGCGGUGAAAUGCGCAGAUAUCGGGAAGAACACCCGUGGCGAAGGCGGCUCUCUGGGACGGUACUGACGCUGAGACGCGAAAGCGUGGGGAGCGAACAGG
rnacentral:rRNA from 1 species